UACGAAGGGGGCUAGCGUUGUUCGGAUUUACUGGGCGUAAAGCGCACGUAGGCGGAUCUUUAAGUCAGGGGUGAAAUGCCGCGGCUCAACCGCGGAACUGCCUUUGAUACUGGGGAUCUGGAGUCCGGGAGAGGUGAGCGGAACUGCGAGUGUAGAGGUGAAAUUCGUAGAUAUUCGCAAGAACACCAGUGGCGAAGGCGGCUCACUGGCCCGGAACUGACGCUGAGGUGACGAAAGGCGUGGGGAGCAAACAGG
rnacentral:rRNA from 1 species